AGUCUUUUGAUUUUUGAUGAAAGGUGUUUUCUGCUCGGUGAUUUUUAACAGCCGCGGUAAUUUGACCGUGCGAAGGUAGCAUAAUCAUUUGCUUUGUAAUUUGGGGCUUGAAUGAAUGGAUUUACAAAGGACUUGCUGUCUUAAAAAAAUAAUUAGAAUUUGUUUUUGUUGUGAAGAAACAAUAAUUUGGUAAGGGGACAAGAAGACCCUUUUGAUCUUGACUUUUUUAAAUAAAUAUUAGUUUUUAAAGAGUUUGGUUGGGGCGAUCGAAGAAGAGUUAAAAUCUUCUUUUUAGUAAUUAUUUAUGGUCCAGGUUUUUUGAUGUAAGGACUAAGUUACCAAAGGGAUAACAGCGUUAUUUUUUUUGUGAGUUCUUAUUAAAAAAAGAGAUUGCGACCUCGAUGUUGACUUAUUAAUUUCCUGUUGGUGUAGUAGUUAUAUAGGAGAGUCUGUUCGACUUUUAAUUUUUU
rnacentral:rRNA from 1 species